rnacentral:lncRNA from 1 species
AUAUAUAUAUAUAGAGAGAGAAAAAAUCAGGAACGACCCUGAUCGCACGGUGCCCUAAAACGGUACCUGCAUUACCCAUUACCCAUUACCCAUUACCUCUGUCAGACUUCUCCAUCCACAUCCACAUUACCCAUUACCCUAGACACUCCCAUCUCUGAUGUCUCUACAAAAGCCUCAUCUUUACCUCCUCCUACCUCUGUCAAUCGCCAUUAAUUAAACCACGACGGAAGGGAAGCAUCUUGACAGAACCCAUCGCGAUUGUACGAAGAGGAGUUGAUCCGGGGCCCUGUGAUAUAUAUCUACCGUUCCGUGCCCGCGACUGCGAGUUCCGCGGAACUCGAUUUCGAUUCCGCGGAACCCAUCGCGAGUUCCGCGGAACUCGAUCGCGGUUCCGCGGAAUUGGAAUCGGAACGACGAUCGCGGAACUCGAUCGCGGUUCCGCGGAAUCGGAAUCGGAACGCCGCGGAAUCGGAAUCGGAACGACGCGGAAUCGGAACGAC